AUCCUUUUGUGGUUCAUAAGUGUGAUGAUUGGGUUUUCAUGCUCAUGCGUGAGAUGUGCCUCCCUCAAAUCUUGUUAUGACGUAGGCACAUUAUCUGUCUGAUG
rnacentral:snoRNA from 1 species